GAUGAACGCUGGCGGCGUGCCUAAUACAUGCAAGUCGAGCGAACAGACGAGGAGCUUGCUCCUCUGACGUUAGCGGCGGACGGGUGAGUAACACGUGGAUAACCUACCUAUAAGACUGGGAUAACUUCGGGAAACCGGAGCUAAUACCGGAUAAUAUAUUGAACCGCAUGGUUCAAUAGUGCAAGACUGUUUUGCUGUCACUUAUAGAUGGAUCCGCGCCGCAUUAGCUAGUUGGUAAGGUAACGGCUUACCAAGGCAACGAUGCGUAGCCGACCUGAGAGGGUGAUCGGCCACACUGGAACUGAGACACGGUCCAGACUCCUACGGGAGGCAGCAGUAGGGAAUCUUCCGCAAUGGGCGAAAGCCUGACGGAGCAACGCCGCGUGAGUGAUGAAGGUCUUCGGAUCGUAAAACUCUGUUAUUAGGGAAGAACAAAUGUGUAAGUAACUAUGCACGUCUUGACGGUACCUAAUCAGAAAGCCACGGCUAACUACGUG
rnacentral:rRNA from 1 species